AAGUCACAUCGAUGUCCCACCGGUCGAACACCAAGCCAUACGCUGGAAGUUGUAUUUAACCCAGUGUACGUUUUAAUAACAACAUUAGUUUCUGAGACAACGACUACCUGUAAUAUUUCACACAACAGAUAAAACGUGACAUCGAUGCUAACGGUAACGUACAGGGCAACGUUAACUAGCAUUACCAUUGUUAUCUUACCUUGAUGUAGCCACCUCUCUCUGUAGUCACCGCUCUGGUCCCAAGCAAUGCCCUGCCUACAGCACUAUCUGAGUGGUUACACGUCACGAGUAAUGCCUUAUCAACACCGAAGGCUACUCUGCCACAGACGGGCACAGAGGAAUGCAUUUGCAGACUGGAGAAGCUCUGGUGAGCGAGAGGAGCUGUGUGUCGAAGGAUCUUACCGGGAUCUAGCCAGCGCAUAGGUCCUCUUGGUCUCAUAAUGUAAGCAGCACUUCCAACAAAAUCACCCCCGUCAGCAACAAUGAU